AAAAUAGCACCCCGCACGCUCAAUGCCUCCCCCGAUCCCAUCUCUUCCACCUCCAGAGCACCGCCACCUCCUGCCACGCCCCACCCCGCCUCACCACGCACCGCCGGCCGCCGCCGCGCGCCCCUCCGGCACGCCUACCCCUACCCCAAGUGCCCCCACACCCGCGGCCUUCCACCGCCGGCGACAGUCUACCCUGACUGUGUCGCUCCCAAGCCAGCCGACCCCAAAUCGCUCGGGUGUCGGCGGCGCUGGCAGCACAAGCAGCUGCCAUGAAGCUGUGCGGCCACCCCCUUGCCCCCUUCACCUCCUUCCUCCCACUUGCACACAUGAGAAGGAAUUGAAUCAAAGUCGGUCCCUCAAUCUAAACCAGGAGGAGCGCCCAUUGAACAGGAUGGUGUGCAGGUCGCGGAGAGUUGCAUCGGCAAGUGUCAGCUCAUAUCUUGAAGUGCCAUGGAGCAAAGCUUGUGAGGAUGCAGGGGCCGUUGGUGGUGUUGGACUUAUCGCAGGUUGAACCACAUCUUGCUUUCCUUUUCUUUUGCCAAUCUGCUCUCUUGUCUCUCGGAGUCACAAAUUGGUCGUCCAUGCAUCUCUUCUUCUUAAUAGAUAUAUAACAUUGAUUUGAUUGGUAAUACUGAUGGCAGAUUGCUGCAAUUUAUUGAAUUUGAUCUAAUUUAUUUUGGGAUUGUUAAAUUUGUGAUUUUUUACAUACAAUCUAUGGAUACCUCAUGGAGAUCGGUCGAAGCAAACUAUUCUCAUCAGCUUCAGUAAUGUGUCUGAUGCCAUUUGGCCCAUAUGGCAGGGUUAACAUCAUCAAUGGCCUGCCCCAGUCGUCAGCCAGAUAGUUAUAUUGUGAAACACUUGACAAUGAAGCUCUCUGUCAACUAUUAAAGCAUUGACAAUUUCUAUCCUAAAGCUGAAUGUUUUUGUGGGCAAUUCGUUCGUAAAAGCAAUGGCAAGUGAGAACUACUAAAUCAUUGAGAGUCUCCUUGCCUCCCUCACGGGCUACACACGCUACGACCUGCUUGGAUGCAACAUGCUGGUCUUCCAAGGCCUACGUCAAGCACACCAGUGUUUCCAGGAACUACCAAGGUAUCUUCCUAUUUGAUCCAAAAUGCAUAUACACAUGAUUAUGAUGGAGAUACUAUCCGGAUUGAGCAAUGUGGCAUAUAAGCUUUAGCUUGCUGGUUCAGAUUAUCAGUGUUAAUCUUCUGGUUGUGGCAAUUUUUCAGACUUUUUGAGAGGGUGUCAUGUGUCAGAUGAGAGAGGCAACUGAUGUGGUUCUUUAUCAUGUUGCUGCCAUCGCAACCACAUGUUAAUUAAAGUGCAGGUACUCCAGUCAGUCGGGAGCUCUAUAAAUGAGGAAAGCAGAAAGAGCCAUGGCGUGAUGGCUACAUAUUCAUCUACCUUGACAACCUUUAAGAACCAACAGUUGAAUAAUUGUAGGUUUUAUUUGGAGAACAAAAAUAUAAGAUUUAAUGCUACCCAAUAUUUGUAAUUGAAAAAGAUAGAUUGUACGUGCUUUACAUUAUAUAGGUGGUUGCCUCAAUAUGUUUCAAGCUAGAGAAUAAUAUUUGUGUAUAGUAUGAUUUUGGUCUGUCCAUAUUUCAUACCUGUAACACAUGAUGGAGGAGCACGGAGCAGUCCUAAAUAUUGGUGGAUUACAUAGAUUCUGCAACUCCCUUAAAUCCAGUGUGCACUAAACUACUCCAAUUUCCAUUUUAUGGGAGAAUUUUGAGCUAGACUCCUGCUA